rnacentral:lncRNA from 1 species
GGGAUUACAGGCAUCCGCCACUACGCCAGCUAAUUUUUUUGUAUUUUUAGUAGAGACGAGGUUUCAUCUUGUUGGCCAGGCUGGUCUUGAACUCCUGACCUCAAGUGAUCCGUCAGUCUCAGCCUCCCAGAAUGCCUGAAGGUUAGCUUUUAAGUGUUGGUUACUUUAUCUCCUCAGUAGCUAGAUCAGGGUCCAGGUGGUCAGGAUUCAGUCAAAAGCAAGUGAUUAAGGAGACUCCUCUGGGGACUUUGCGAUGGAGAGGCAGGAGGGGCCACGAGCGGGGGUGGGGAAGAGAAGAGGGCACAGAGGCCAGCGGAUGAGAGAGACACCAGGGAGCCUGGGAUGCCUGCCCGAGGCUCUGGCCACGCCCAUGCCCUGCCUGUCCCGCUAAGAGACGAGAAGUCUUGCCAUGUUGCCCGGGUUGGUCUCCAACUCUUGGGCUCAAGACAUCCUCCUGCUUCAGGCUCCCUCAGUGCUGAGAUUUCAGCACACAGAGGAAAGGCCAUGUGAGGACACAGCAAGAAGGCGGCCAUCUGCAAGCCAAGAAGAGAGUCCUCACCAGGAACCAACUCUGCUGACACCUUGCUGUUGGACUUCCAGCCUCUAUAAAUGUUCACAAGCACACCACUGUUUACACCCAUCUAGAAGGCCCCUCCCAGCUGACAUCUUUCUGCCUACCUUUCAGGAAGACAGACGAAACUCUCUGCCUUCAGGUGGGGCAAGAUGGAGUUUUCUGCGUCUUUUACUCCACACCCCCUCCAACCCUCCCCGA